CCUACGGGAGGCAGCAGUGGGGGAUAUUGGACAAUGGGGGGGAACCCUGAUCCAGCGACGCCGCGUGAGUGAAGAAGUAUUUCGGUAUGUAAAGCUCUGUCAGCAGGGAAGAAAGAAAUGACGGUACCUGACCAAGCAGCCCCGGCUAACUACGUGACAGCAGACGCGGGAAUACGUAGGGGGCAAGCGUUAUCCGGAAUUACUGGGUGUAAAGGGAGCGUAGACGGUUAAGUAAGUCUGGAGUGAAAGGCCGGGGCCCAACCCCGGGACUGCUGUGGAAACUAUUGAACUUGAGUGCGGGAGAGGUAAGCGGAAUUCCUAGUGUAGCGGUGAAAUGCGUAGAUAUUAGGAGGAACACCAGCGGCGAAGGCGGCUUACUGGACUGUAACUGACGUUGAGGCUCGAAAGCGUGGGGAGCAAACAGGAUUAGAUACCCGUGUAGUC
rnacentral:rRNA from 1 species